AAUGUAAAAAAAACUUAACUUACCCCUCUCUCCCCUAUUGUGAAAAGGCCUCCCAAUUAAGUGUCAAAAUUAAAGGGAGGCAAUCUAUCAUAUGAACCACACACUGCUCUGCAGUGCAGCUGAGCUGAGCGAUGAGGUCAUGUUUCAGUGGCUGUGACCCCUCCCUCCCUUUGCCUCUUCUCAUUUACAACAAGUGAUCUUUUUCCUUCCCUUAGUGACCAUCAAAUAGAGACCUGUGCCUAGCAACAAGCAGACGCCACCCCUACACACACUGGGGAGGGUGCUGUUGGCUACAGGGGUAGAUCGAGAUUUGAAGUGAAGAGAUUCAUUUCCAUAGGGUUGUUUAUUGACUGCUUGCAUUGCCACCAUCCUUUGGGAAUUGUACUCAAGGGGAGAGAAAGGGGAGGAUUGGAAUGUUGUCAAUCCAUUUGACACACAAGGAGAACGGGAAAAGCUUGUCUGAGCUGAAGAGGCAGAUGAGGCAGUGCAGGGUGGAGCUGCAGAGGGGAUAGGAGAUCCAGAGGCAUACCGUGGAGAGACGGAGGGAGUGUCUGGCACUACACUUCACUGACUGGAGGCUCCAAGCCGACCACACCCUCUCUCUGCGCCUGGAUGCAGAGGUGAAUGUGGAGGGGAAGCUGCUGAGUGUCUCUGUAGCCCUGCUGGAGGAAGAGGAAGAGAGCUCUAGGCAGCGUGAGGAUGCCUGGCUGGUUCUCAACAAGAUGCCCCAGCCACCCCAGGCCCCUGUCAGGUCAGUGUCUGGAGAUAGUGCUGCCCUUGUCAACGACACAUCAACCAAUCAAUCAAUCACACCUGCAGCCUCUCUAUGCCCUCACUCACUCACUAAUGCCAUUUCAGUUUCAACCAUAUGCGGAUCUGAAAUGUUACAGUUUCUUAUGGUUUUUGGGAGCACAGGAAAUUCUUUCAGAACUCCGUUACCCGUUAUUUUAGCUAUCAUCUCUCUCUCUCCCAUUAUAGGAUCUCUGACUAUCUCUUGUACUGUUGCUCCCUGCUGUAGUUUCUCAGCCAUAGAGCGCUGUAGUCCAGUACACGUGCCCAGAGUAGGCGUUCACGGAGGGGUCUACAUUUUCAACAAGUCUCGAACCUCUUCACAGUGUUAUGGCUCGUUUAUCGCCAUUCCCAUAUCGGACCCCCGAGAGCAGGGAUGAGCUUUUGGAGCGCUGGGUCUCGACACACUCUGAGAUUCAAACGACACUCACCUGUUCUCACGCCAUGAGAUAGACUUCAACCAGGCGAGAGGAAUGGCUGCUCCCAGAUCUGUUUGUGCUGUCUUACCAACUUACCAACAUUUGGCUGACAAUGACCGCAGGAGUUAGCAAGACAGCACAAAGAGAUCUGGGAUUAUGCAGUAUAAAAUUCAGGUCGAUAUUUCCAUAAAGCUCAAGGAGUAUUCAAUGAGGAAGAAAAUAUCCUAAAAACACCAUUCAAUAGCUCAUUGGCUUUGAAUCAGUAAUGAUAUCCUAUUUUUGCCCAGGGGGUGAGCAGUGAAUUCAGCAGAGCUCUCCAGUAUGUAGGGAUUCGCUGCAGCAUACUGCACAUUGUGGAGAGCGCCUCACUCUGGCUACACAGCAGAGUCUCUGCCAUUCACAGUACCACCACCUAUCUGAUGGAGCCUUCAGAUGGACAGAAUACGGUGACAUCAAUCCAAUACAGGCUACUUUGUAUACACAGCAUCCAUACACUAAAUGAACCAUUUAAACAGACCCCAACAUUACCCCAACAUUAGCUUAACCACAAGUUCAGGUACACAGAAGUUACCAAAUAGGAUAUCAAACCAACUUUAAGUAGGCUAAUGAUCGCCAUUUACAGGGCAAUGACUACUCUCUGAGGAAGAUGAUGGUGAUGGAGGGUGGUUCUAGUCGCUCCCAUAGGCUCUCCCCUCCUCCUUCCUUAUGCCGCUCAGAUCACUUCUCCAGACUGGUGCUCCCUGUGAGGGACACAGCUGGAUGGGCCCUGGGAGUGCUGGGCAUGGAGUUAGAAACCAUCUCACCGGGCCACCAGGGGGGGCUGCAGCCUCACGAGCGCAUGGACCUGUCUGCUGCUGGGGCUGCCUGUGUUCAGCUGCACAGAGCGAGCACUGAGUGGAGCAGGCAACACACACUGCUGGAGGCGGAGGCCCUGGGAGGGGAGUGGCGGGCGUCCAUCUUGUACCUAUGU